CACGCUGUAAACGAUGGAUACUAGGUGUGGGGGUCGAUAGGCCUCUGUGCCGUAGUAAACGCAUUAAGUAUCCCGCCUGGGGAGUACGAUCGCAAGGUUGAAACUCAAAGGAAUUGACGGGGGCCCGCACAAGCAGCGGAGCAUGUGGUUUAAUUCGAAGCAACGCGAAGAACCUUACCAAGGCUUGACAUCCUCUGACCGCUAUAGAGAUAUAGCUUCCCUUCGGGGCAGAGUGACAGGUGG
rnacentral:rRNA from 1 species